rnacentral:misc_RNA from 1 species
AUGAGUUGCAAAACUCCAACCAUCGCGAAUGUAACCCAUUGCAGUUGCUUCGGCGGGUGGCCCUGAGAGGGGCCGCGCCCCCCUACGGGAGGCAUACCCGCCGGAGUCGUACAAACUCUUGUAUUUGUUGGCAUCUCUGAGUAAUUUUACAAUAAGUUA